rnacentral:rRNA from 1 species
GAUGAACGCUGGCGGCGUGCCUAAUACAUGCAAGUCGAGCGAACGGACGAGAAGCUUGCUUCUCUGAUGUUAGCGGCGGACGGGUGAGUAACACGUGGAUAACCUACCUAUAAGACUGGGAUAACUUCGGGAAACCGGAGCUAAUACCGGAUAAUAUUUUGAACCGCAUGGUUCAAAAGUGAAAGACGGUCUUGCUGUCACUUAUAGAUGGAUCCGCGCUGCAUUAGCUAGUUGGUAAGGUAACGGCUUACCAAGGCAACGAUGCAUAGCCGACCUGAGAGGGUGAUCGGCCACACUGGAACUGAGACACGGUCCAGACUCCUACGGGAGGCAGCAGUAGGUAAUCUUCCGCAAUGGGCGAAAGCCUGACGGAGCAACGCCGCGUGAGUGAUGAAGGUCUUCGGAUCGUAAAACUCUGUUAUUAGGGAAGAACAUAUGUGUAAGUAACUGUGCACAUCUUGACGGUACCUAAACAGAAAGCCACGGCUAACUUCGUG